rnacentral:rRNA from 1 species
UACGUAGGGUGCGAGCGUUGUCCGGAAUUACUGGGCGUAAAGAGCUCGUAGGUGGUUUGUCGCGUUGUUCGUGAAAACUCACAGCUCAACUGUGGGCGUGCGGGCGAUACGGGCAGACUGGAGUACUGCAGGGGAGACUGGAAUUCCUGGUGUAGCGGUGGAAUGCGCAGAUAUCAGGAGGAACACCGGUGGCGAAGGCGGUUCUCUGGGCAUGUCCUGACGCUGAGGAGCGAAAGCGUGGGGAGCGAACAGG